GUCAAGUAUCAGUACUUUUAUAUAUUUCCCCUUGUUCUGUGAACAGAGUGAGGGCAGGAACUGUGGUGUAGGCAUGAUGAGCAGCAAGUAGCACAGCUGCAGGUAGCUGUGCUUAUACUCUAAAUAGUACAGCUCCUGACUGCAUCAGUACUUAGAACAUAGACAAAUUCUAAGCACUGCAUUAACAGAAAUGAGACUCCUCCACUAAUAAGGAAAUAGGAGUGGGCAUCAAUCAAAAAUUACAUGAAAAAACAAAUGGAAAUUAC